ensembl:lncRNA
UUUGAGGUCUCAGAUAUGAAUGGUCAUUAAAAAUAUUCCAAAGUGUCCCCCACUUCUAAUAACAAUAUUCUCAUUAUAUGGUUAUCAGAACCGACCCAGAAUUUAAAAGCAGAGUAACCCAAGAAAGUGCACAUUUUCCAGGAUGCUGUUCGCAAACUGAAGUGUCUAAAAAUCAGAAAUUCGAUACACAUGUACUGUCUAGAAUGUAGAAGAAGUGUGUGAAGUUUCAAAACCUUGGCAUUUAUACUAUACUAUUUGAGAUAUAAAUUUUGAAAGGUUCUUUACUCCAUGGCUCAGUAUCAUUGCUUGCAGGAGGCAGUGUUGAGCUAUCGGCUGAAGGCGGAGCUUGGGAUGGAACGCUCUGGAUGUCUGAUAGUUCUCACACGUGCGAAGGGACAGCGGCGUGUGCGUUGUAGACUCCUUCUGUUGUGUAGCGACUUGGGAUGUCGGUCAGCAGUCAGUGCCUCGGUUCCUGUUCACGGAAGGUAAGAGCGAGGUGGCGGCCAUCAUAUCUGUAACUUUCAAGUGGCCUGCUUUCGUCUAUUUGUGAUACCCCGAUUUGUAAUGGGUGAGAACGUGUGGGAGGCUGUGGCGGGAAGUGGAUUGAUGGCCUGAAAGACCCGAUCCUCGAUCGCAUGUGCGCUGUAAUAUGCACGCCUAUGGGAGGAGGAGGCUUUUUUCCCCACAUGCAUCUCGGGAACUAAACGUUUCAGCCGCUUGCAGAAGAGGGAAGUCAGUUUGCACUGCGGGGCGGUUUCACUGUUUCCGGGGUAGCAACUCAUGCAGAUGCCAAAGAAAAAAGGAAACUGCUCAAUUUGCGGCAGCGUGUACUGAAAUGUGUCCAACGCAGAUGAGAGGAGACUCCUUCUCGCUAAAAAAUUCUGGCCGGAACAAGGGCAGACGGGACUGCCCCAUUGUGGGCUGUAAUGUCCAGGGCCUUUUGCACCUGGACUCCCACAUCAGAACCCAGCAUGACCUGACAUCCGAUGGGACGUCGCAAAGGCAAAACAAAAAGCAGAACAGCGUGCCAUGAGAAAGUUCCAGCGUGAAGCAGAUGCCGACCCAGACAUGAGGGUCAUGCUGCAGAGGCUGCAGAAGCUGGUCAGAUGGUUGGAGGACAAACUGACUGAGAAGGAAGUGCAGCCAGAGCCAUGCGUUAAUGUAUUUAAUUAUUUAUUGCAAUAACACAUGAAGCUGCUCGCCUAAAACUGCACUCUGCAUUGCGCAUUGGAGGUGCCACACCAGGGGUAGGUGGACAUUACAGACAGUGUCCACGUACAGUACAGGCCAAAAGUUUGGACGCACCUUCUCAUUCAAUGUGUUUUCUUUAUUUUCAUGACUAUUUAAUAGAGGUGGGAAUCACCAGAGACCCCACGAUACGAUAUUAUCACGAUAUUUAACUCACGAUACAAUAUUAUUGCGAUUUUAAACAUUCUGCGAUAUGUUAAGUAUUGCGAUACGAUAUAUUGUGAUAAUCACGUUUUUUUCCAACUGCAAAUUAUGUCCAUAAAGGUAAACUUUGUCAAAAUACAUUUAAUCUUACAAAAUAGUCUUUAGUCAUUCACUUUCAUCAUUUUUAUUGCUGACAAACUGUUACUGACAUAGAAUUACAGGUACUUUGAACAGUAUAAACAGUAUAAAUUGCAAAAAGUUAUGCAGCAACUUCAGCAGCUUAAUAAUUUUAAGUUGAUUUUUCAGUGGAGCUGGUUUAGCUUUGCCGUCCUCAGCUAACAAUAUCUCAGGAUGGUGGCGGGUGAGAUGAGCCCUCAUGUUCGUAGUAUUUCCAGAAUACUUUACUUUCAUACGACACUCCUUGCAAAUCGUGUGUGUCAUAUCCAUCUUUUUUGUCCCAUCCUUGUCAAAAAAUCCAAAAUACAUCCAGACGUUUGACUUAAACACGGACGGCGCUUUCCUAAUCUCUUUCUCUGCCUCCAUUUUUGUUUUACCGAAUUCAUCCCACACGCUGACUCUCACCUUUGCUGACCUCACUAAAGAAAACGCCCAACAGCACCACCCGGUGGAGUAAAAAAUGUAUUGCUUUAAUCAUUGUACUAACAGUUUGAUUUGUUUAUUUAAAUUUGUGUACAAAAUAUCGAUAUUUGGUGUCCCUGUAUCGAUACAAUAUCACCAUGCAAAAUAUCGCGAUACUAUGCUGUAUCGAUUUUUUCCCCCACCCCUACUAUUUAACCAGUCUUUGCCAAAUACAACAACAUUAACAUAUAUUUCUUAUAUAGCCCAAAAUCACAUACAGUAUGUCUCAAUGGGCUUUGAAAGGCCCUACAGUUGACACCCCACACACUUGACCCUCCUCACACAAGGAAAAACUCCAUACAAAAAAACUCUAGGAGAGAGAAAAAGAAAGGAAGAAAUGUUGAGUGAUACAGAGAGGGACCCCCUUCCAGGGUAGAGUGAGCCUGUAAGUGGUGUCAGUGCAGGCUUUGUGAUUGUCCAAUUGGAGAAAAGUAUGUGUCCAUUAUGAUGCUAUUGGUCCAUUUGAAGAUCCCUGAAGCUGUAGUUGUUACGGUGGUGGCGGCUGUGGUGACCCUCUGGUUCAUUUCAUGCUAAGUCCUCGUUUAGCAGUUGUCAGGAACCAGGAAUUAUCUGCUGGUCUCUUCACUGGAGUCUGCCAGUAGUCUGGACGCUUGAUUCAAUAUCUCAUUUACAUUUUACAUUUAAGUCAUUUGACAGCCUAACUAAGUUGAAUUUAACACUGUCUGUGCUUAACAGGGUGACUGUGUGUGUCACGUCGGCGAGCUGACAGGGGAAGGAAGUGCAGAGGUGGGACAUAAAGGAACCAAUGAUUUAUUAAUAUAUACAAAUAAACAAGGCAUGAUGGCCA